rnacentral:pre_miRNA from 1 species
CUCGUGGGGAGGAUUCCUCAGCCCGGAUUGCAAUAGGGCACAGGCCAGGCUGAGGGACCCCACCAGUGCAUG